rnacentral:rRNA from 1 species
AUUGAACGCUGGCGGCAGGCUUAACACAUGGAAGUCGAGCGGAGUGAUGGUGCUUGCACUAUCACUUAGCGGCGGACGGGUGAGUAAUGCUUAGGAAUCUGCCUAUUAGUGGGGGACAACAUCUCGAAAGGGAUGCUAAUACCGCAUACGUCCUACGGGAGAAAGCAGGGGAUCACUUGUGACCUUGCGCUAAUAGAUGAGCCUAAGUCGGAUUAGCUAGUUGGUGGGGUAAAGGCCUACCAAGGCGACGAUCUGUAGCGGGUCUGAGAGGAUGAUCCGCCACACUGGGACUGAGACACGGCCCAGAAUCCUACGGGAGGCAGCAGUGGGGAAUAUUGGACAAUGGGGGGAACCCUGAUCCAGCCAUGCCGCGUGUGUGAAGAAGGCCUUAUGGUUGUAAAGCACUUUAAGCGAGGAGGAGGCUCUUUUGGUUAAUACCCAAGAUGAGUGGACGUUACUCGCAGAAUAAGCACCGGCUAACUCUGUGCCAGCAGCCGCGGUAA